rnacentral:rRNA from 1 species
GACGAACGCUGGCGGCGUGCUUAACACAUGCAAGUCGAACGGAAAGGCCCUGCUUUUGUGGGGUGCUCGAGUGGCGAACGGGUGAGUAACACGUGAGUAACCUGCCCUUGACUUUGGGAUAACUUCAGGAAACUGGGUCUAAUACCGGAUAGGAGCUCCUGCUGCAUGGUCGGUUUUUGAAAGUUUCGUCGGUUGGGGAUGGACUCGCGGCUUAUCAGCUUGUUGGUGGGGUAGUGGCUUACCAAGGCUUUGACGGGUAGCCGGCCUGAGAGGGUGACCGGCCACAUUGGGACUGAGACACGGCCCAGACUCCUACGGGAGGCAGCAGUGGGGAAUAUUGCACAAUGGGCGGAAGCCUGAUGCAGCAACGCCGCGUGAGGGAUGACGGCCUUCGGGUUGUAAACCGCUUUCGCCUGGGAAGAAGCGAGAGUGACGGUAAUGGGUAAAGAAGCACCGGCUAACUACGUG